rnacentral:rRNA from 1 species
UACGGGGGGAGCAAGCGUUGUUCGGAUUUACUGGGCGUAAAGGGCUCGUAGGCGGCCACCGCAAGUCGACUGUGAAAUCUCCGGGCUUAACUCGGAAAGGUCAGCCGAUACUGCGGGGCUAGAGUGCAGAAGGGGCAACUGGAAUUCUCGGUGUAGCGGUGAAAUGCGUAGAUAUCGAGAGGAACACCUGCGGCGAAGGCGGGUUGCUGGGCUGACACUGACGCUGAUUGUGCGAAAGCUAGGGGAGCGAACGGG